rnacentral:lncRNA from 1 species
UUCUCAUUAUGUACUUAGGUACUUUGACUGAACAGAUUUGUAUUGUCUUCCUAGAACCUUUCCAUUGUCCACUGAGAGGGUUUAAAACAUUUUGUUAAGACAUCUGUUGCUUGUUUAAACCAUGUAUUUUAUGUAUCUCAUUUUUAUAUGUGUCUUCAAGUUGCUGUCAUUGAUAUUAAGGCUAAAUAAAAAUUAUGUGUGUUUUCUAUUCCCCUACCUACCCUAUUUUUUAAGCUUAGAAAUAGCCUAAUGUUACCUUAAAGUUUGUUUGGUCAUUUUUCAAUAAGCACUGUUAAAGUCAGAAUUUCUCUUCCGUAGACUCAAUGUAGAACAAAAUUGUAAAAUUAAAAAAAUUCCCUACCUACCUACAAUAUUAUUUUCAAAGAUAUCAUAGGAAACACACAUAUUAUUUUAUUUGAUCUUAUUUUGUAUAUUAUUUUUUAUAUUAUUUUGUAUAUUAUUUUUUUGUUUAUUUACUGUUUUUGUUGUCGUUAUACUGUUGUCUUGUUCAUGUUUUUUGUGUACAUAAUGUAUAUUUCUUCGUUUGUUCUUAUCCGUAUGUACUUAUAGGUGCUUUGACUGAACACAUUUUUAUUGUCCUUCUAGAACCUUUCCAUUGUCCACUGAGAGGGUUUAAAACAUUUUGUUAAGACAUCUGUUUCUUGUUAAAACCAUGUACUUAUCUUAUUUUUAUAUGUGUAUUGACAUUUAGGGCAAAUAAAAAAUUAUGUGUUUUCUAUUUAGCUACCUAGCCUAUGUUUUAAGCUUAGAAAUAGCUUACCGUUAAUUUUUGGGUCAUUUUUCAAUAAGUACUCUUAAAGUCAGAAUUCUCUCCCAUUGACUUAAUGUUAAAAAAAGUUCCCUAACCUAGAUCUAGAUGUGAUAGGAAACACACAUAAUUUUAUUCAGCCUUAUUUUGUUAAAAAAAUUUGUUAUCUAUUUUACUGUUUUUG